rnacentral:rRNA from 1 species
AGCGUACACGGUGGAUGCCCUGGCAGUCAGAGGCGAUGAAGGACGUGCUAAUCUGCGAUAAGCGUCGGUAAGGUGAUAUGAACCGUUAUAACCGGCGAUUUCCGAAUGGGGAAACCCAGUGUGUUUCGACACACUAUCAUUAACUGAAUCCAUAGGUUAAUGAGGCGAACCGGGGGAACUGAAACAUCUAAGUACCCCGAGGAAAAGAAAUCAACCGAGAUUCCCCCAGUAGCGGCGAGCGAACGGGGAGCAGCCCAGAGCCUGAAUCAGUGUGUGUGUUAGUGGAAGCGUCUGGAAAGGCGCGCGAUACAGGGUGACAGCCCCGUACACAAAAAUGCACAUGCUGUGAGCUCGAUGAGUAGGGCGGGACACGUGGUAUCCUGUCUGAAUAUGGGGGGACCAUCCUCCAAGGCUAAAUACUCCUGACUGACCGAUAGUGAACCAGUACCGUGAGGGAAAGGCGAAAAGAACCCCGGCGAGGGGAGUGAAAAAGAACCUGAAACCGUGUACGUACAAGCAGUGGGAGCACGCUUCGGCGUGUGACUGCGUACCUUUUGUAUAAUGGGUCAGCGACUUAUAUUCUGUAGCAAGGUUAACCGAAUAGGGGAGCCGAAGGGAAACCGAGUCUUAACUGGGCGUUAAGUUGCAGGGUAUAGACCCGAAACCCGGUGAUCUAGCCAUGGGCAGGUUGAAGGUUGGGUAACACUAACUGGAGGACCGAACCGACUAAUGUUGAAAAAUUAGCGGAUGACUUGUGGCUGGGGGUGAAAGGCCAAUCAAACCGGGAGAUAGCUGGUUCUCCCCGAAAGCUAUUUAGGUAGCGCCUCGUGAAUUCAUCUCCGGGGGUAGAGCACUGUUUCGGCAAGGGGGUCAUCCCGACUUACCAACCCGAUGCAAACUGCGAAUACCGGAGAAUGUUAUCACGGGAGACACACGGCGGGUGCUAACGUCCGUCGUGAAGAGGGAAACAACCCAGACCGCCAGCUAAGGUCCCAAAGUCAUGGUUAAGUGGGAAACGAUGUGGGAAGGCCCAGACAGCCAGGAUGUUGGCUUAGAAGCAGCCAUCAUUUAAAGAAAGCGUAAUAGCUCACUGGUCGAGUCGGCCUGCGCGGAAGAUGUAACGGGGCUAAACCAUGCACCGAAGCUGCGGCAGCGACGCUUAUGCGUUGUUGGGUAGGGGAGCGUUCUGUAAGCCUGUGAAGGUGUGCUGUGAGGCAUGCUGGAGGUAUCAGAAGUGCGAAUGCUGACAUAAGUAACGAUAAAGCGGGUGAAAAGCCCGCUCGCCGGAAGACCAAGGGUUCCUGUCCAACGUUAAUCGGGGCAGGGUGAGUCGACCCCUAAGGCGAGGCCGAAAGGCGUAGUCGAUGGGAAACAGGUUAAUAUUCCUGUACUUGGUGUUACUGCGAAGGGGGGACGGAGAAGGCUAUGUUGGCCGGGCGACGGUUGUCCCGGUUUAAGCGUGUAGGCUGGUUUUCCAGGCAAAUCCGGAAAAUCAAGGCUGAGGCGUGAUGACGAGGCACUACGGUGCUGAAGCAACAAAUGCCCUGCUUCCAGGAAAAGCCUCUAAGCAUCAGGUAACAUCAAAUCGUACCCCAAACCGACACAGGUGGUCAGGUAGAGAAUACCAAGGCGCUUGAGAGAACUCGGGUGAAGGAACUAGGCAAAAUGGUGCCGUAACUUCGGGAGAAGGCACGCUGAUAUGUAGGUGAAGCGACUUGCUCGUGGAGCUGAAAUCAGUCGAAGAUACCAGCUGGCUGCAACUGUUUAUUAAAAACACAGCACUGUGCAAACACGAAAGUGGACGUAUACGGUGUGACGCCUGCCCGGUGCCGGAAGGUUAAUUGAUGGGGUCAGCGCAAGCGAAGCUCUUGAUCGAAGCCCCGGUAAACGGCGGCCGUAACUAUAACGGUCCUAAGGUAGCGAAAUUCCUUGUCGGGUAAGUUCCGACCUGCACGAAUGGCGUAAUGAUGGCCAGGCUGUCUCCACCCGAGACUCAGUGAAAUUGAACUCGCUGUGAAGAUGCAGUGUACCCGCGGCAAGACGGAAAGACCCCGUGAACCUUUACUAUAGCUUGACACUGAACAUUGAGCCUUGAUGUGUAGGAUAGGUGGGAGGCUUUGAAGUGUGGACGCCAGUCUGCAUGGAGCCGACCUUGAAAUACCACCCUUUAAUGUUUGAUGUUCUAACGUUGACCCGUAAUCCGGGUUGCGGACAGUGUCUGGUGGGUAGUUUGACUGGGGCGGUCUCCUCCUAAAGAGUAACGGAGGAGCACGAAGGUUGGCUAAUCCUGGUCGGACAUCAGGAGGUUAGUGCAAUGGCAUAAGCCAGCUUGACUGCGAGCGUGACGGCGCGAGCAGGUGCGAAAGCAGGUCAUAGUGAUCCGGUGGUUCUGAAUGGAAGGGCCAUCGCUCAACGGAUAAAAGGUACUCCGGGGAUAACAGGCUGAUACCGCCCAAGAGUUCAUAUCGACGGCGGUGUUUGGCACCUCGAUGUCGGCUCAUCACAUCCUGGGGCUGAAGUAGGUCCCAAGGGUAUGGCUGUUCGCCAUUUAAAGUGGUACGCGAGCUGGGUUUAGAACGUCGUGAGACAGUUCGGUCCCUAUCUGCCGUGGGCGCUGGAGAACUGAGGGGGGCUGCUCCUAGUACGAGAGGACCGGAGUGGACGCAUCACUGGUGUUCGGGUUGUCAUGCCAAUGGCACUGCCCGGUAGCUAAAUGCGGAAGAGAUAAGUGCUGAAAGCAUCUAAGCACGAAACUUGCCCCGAGAUGAGUUCUCCCUGACUCCUUGA